CUCUCUCUCUCUCUCUCUCUCUCUCUCUCCCUCUGCACCUGAUCUCCCUCUCCGCUCUCUCUCUGCACCUCUCCGUCUCCGCUCGAUCUCUCUCUACCUCUCUCUCCCUCCCUCUCCACUCUCGAACUCAUCACCGACACUCUCCCUCUCUUUGCCAUCUCUGUCUCUCUCAGUCUCUCUCUCCGUUUGCAGAUCUAAUAUAGCAGAGCGAUGAGAGAUUGCAGCUGAGGUUUCAUCAUCGGACGGCGUUCUUGCUAUCCAAACCUCAUUUCCAUCUAAGGUUGUAUUAAUGGAGUGGAAUGGAGGAUAUAAGGAUUCAUGUAGCGGAUCCCAAUUGGUUGGGGUAAGGCUUAGAUGAUGAUGAUGAUGAGGGAGGGAGGGUAGUGGAGCUGAUAGAAAUGGACUGCUCUAGAGAGAUGCCACCAUACUUUUCGCCAAUAAUGGUUAAACCAUACUUUCACCAAUUAUGGUUAAUAUUGGGUUAAAGGAGCUUUUUGGAUUAAAAUUGUGACCUCUCUCCCAGAA